CCUCCUGCAUGUUUGUUUUUCCUCUACCUCGUUCACAUAUUUGUUGAUACAGAUAACACAAAAUGUCAUCAAAGUUAAUUACGGAGAUGAUGAAUUAGGGCGAUUUGACCUCUAAACUUUGAUCAUCAAGUUGUAAUCCCAUUUUAACAACAGACUUUACUCCUUGUUGUCUGUUGAGGUGCAUGAAUCACUGAUGGUUAGGACUUUUGUCUUUUCUCUUGGUCCAUCAGAGAGGUCAGAGGUCACCAUCGCCUGUAGGACGUCAUCACUGGUGCUGAUUCCAAACUUGUACAGAGGUUACUGUUACACAGCCUUCACAGAGAGUCAAGUGGUCCUUCUGCGGUUUCACCUCCGUGCAUUUUGACACUCAUUCCUCUCCAUGUAAGGUUUGGAGUUUCAGGAUUUGUUCACCCACAUCUUUGCUGUCGCGGCAGUCCCCACAGAUGCAUCCCAAGCAGCCGUUGACCACCUGGAUGCCGCAGAGCACCAGCUGCACCACUCCCAUGGCCAGCAGUAUGGAGAACAGAACGACGUGCCACAUCACUGCGUUGACAGGGUAAUUACAG